AUCAAGCUUGCUUUGGUUUGGUGAGAGUGGCGCACGGGUGCGUAACGCGUGAGCAACCUACCCUUGUCAGGGGGAUAGCCCGGCGAAAGUCGGAUUAAUACCGCAUGACAUCAUUGAGAGGCAUCUUUCUAUGAUCAAAGAUUUAUCGGACAAGGAUGGGCUCGCGUGACAUUAGCUAGUUGGUAAGGUAACGGCUUACCAAGGCUACGAUGUCUAGGGGCUCUGAGAGGAGAAUCCCCCACACUGGUACUGAGACACGGACCAGACUCCUACGGGAGGCAGCAGUAGGGAAUAUUGGUCAAUGGACGGAAGUCUGAACCAGCCAUGCCGCGUGUAGGAAGACGGCCCUAUGGGUUGUAAACUGCUUUUAUACGGGAACAAACGUCGGUACGUGUACCGGUCUGAGUGUACCGUAAGAAUAAGGAUCGGCUAACUCCGUGCCAGCAGCCGCGGUAAUACGGAGGAUCCGAGCGUUAUCCGGAAUUAUUGGGUUUAAAGGGUGCGUAGGCGGCCAGAUAAGUCAGGGGUGAAAGUCGGCAGCUCAACUGUCGCAGUGCCUUUGAUACUGUUUGGCUUGAAUUCGGUUGAAGAUGGCGGAAUGAGACAAGUAGCGGUGAAAUGCAUAGAUAUGUCUCAGAACACCGAUUGCGA
rnacentral:rRNA from 1 species